UCCUAUCUGUGCCUCAAAAGCAAUGGUCUGGGGUGCAGGCUUCAAACCUGUAGCUGUUUAGUGACAGAGUGGUUCAAUUCAACCUUUUGGGAG